rnacentral:tRNA from 1 species
CGGGCUAUAGCGCAGCGGUAGCGCGCUUGCAUGGGGUGCAAGAGGCCACGGGUUCGAUCCCCGCUAGCCCGACCA